rnacentral:rRNA from 1 species
UACGUAGGGUGCGAGCGUUGUCCGGAAUUAUUGGGCGUAAAGGGCUCGUAGGCGGUUGUCGCGUCGGGAGUGAAAUCAUCUGGCUUAACUGGGUGCUUGCUUUCGAUACGGGCAGACUAGAGGUAUGCAGGGGAGAACGGAAUUCCUGGUGUAGCGGUGAAAUGCGCAGAUAUCAGGAGGAACACCGGUGGCGAAGGCGGUUCUCUGGGCAUGACCUGACGCUGAGGAGCGAAAGUGUGGGGAGCGAACAGG